AGUGAACGCUGGCGGUAGGCCUAACACAUGCAAGUCGAACGGCAGCACAGUAAGAGCUUGCUCUUACGGGUGGCGAGUGGCGGACGGGUGAGGAAUACAUCGGAAUCUACUUUUUCGUGGGGGAUAACGUAGGGAAACUUACGCUAAUACCGCAUACGACCUACGGGUGAAAGCAGGGGAUCUUCGGACCUUGCGCGAUUGAAUGAGCCGAUGUCGGAUUAGCUAGUUGGCGGGGUAAAGGCCCACCAAGGCGACGAUCCGUAGCUGGUCUGAGUGGAUGGUCAGCCACACUGGAACUGAGACACGGUCCAGACUCCUACGGGAGGCAGCAGUCGGGAAUAUUGGACAAUGGGCGCAAACCUGAUCCAGCCAUACCGCGUGUGUGAAGGAAGCCUUCGGGUUGUAAAGCCCUUUUGUUGGGAAAGAAAAGCAGCAGGUUAAUACCCCGCUGUUCUGACGGUACCCAAAGAAUAAGCACCGGCUAACUUCGUG
rnacentral:rRNA from 1 species